UAGGGAAUCUUCGGCAAUGGACGAAAGUCUGACCGAGCAACGCCGCGUGAGUGAAGAAGGUUUUCGGAUCGUAAAACUCUGUUGUUAGAGAAGAACAAGGACGUUAGUAACUGAACGUCCCCUGACGGUAUCUAACCAGAAAGCCACGGCUAACUACGUGCCAGCAGCCGCGGUAAUACGUAGGUGGCAAGCGUUGUCCGGAUUUAUUGGGCGUAAAGCGAGCGCAGGCGGUUUCUUAAGUCUGAUGUGAAAGCCCCCGGCUCAACCGGGGAGGGUCAUUGGAAACAGGGAGACUUGAGUGCAGAAGAGGAGAGUGGAAUUCCAUGUGUAGCGGUGAAAUGCGUAGAUAUAUGGAGGAACACCAGUGGCGAAGGCGGCUCUCUGGUCAGUAACUGACGCUGAGGCGCGAAAGCGUGGGGAGCAAACAGG
rnacentral:rRNA from 1 species